rnacentral:rRNA from 1 species
UAGAGUUUUGAUCCUGGCUCAGGAUGAACGCUGGCGGCGUGCCUAAUACAUGCAAGUCGAGCGAACGGAUAAGGAGCUUGCUCCUUUGAAGUUAGCGGCGGACGGGUGAGUAACACGUGGGUAACCUACCUAUAAGACUGGAAUAACUUCGGGAAACCGGAGCUAAUGCCGGAUAACAUUUGGAACCGCAUGGUUCUAAAGUAAAAGAUGGUUUUGCUAUCACUUAUAGAUGGACCCGCGCCGUAUUAGCUAGUUGGUAAGGUAACGGCUUACCAAGGCAACGAUACGUAGCCGACCUGAGAGGGUGAUCGGCCACACUGGAACUGAGACACGGUCCAGACUCCUACGGGAGGCAGCAGUAGGGAAUCUUCCGCAAUGGACGAAAGUCUGACGGAGCAACGCCGCGUGAGUGAUGAAGGUUUUCGGAUCGUAAAACUCUGUUAUUAGGGAAGAACAAAUGCGUAAGUAACUGUGCGCAUCUUGACGGUACCUAAACAGAAAGCCACGGCUAACUAAC